AGCAGCAGCCGCGGUAAUACGAAGGGGGCUAGCGUUGUUCGGAUUUACUGGGCGUAAAGCGCACGUAGGCGGACUUUUAAGUCAGGGGUGAAAUCCCGGGGCUCAACCCCGGAACUGCCUUUGAUACUGGAAGUCUUGAGUAUGGUAGAGGUGAGUGGAAUUCCGAGUGUAGAGGUGAAAUUCGUAGAUAUUCGGAGGAACACCAGUGGCGAAGGCGGCUCACUGGACCAUUACUGACGCUGAGGUGCGAAAGCGUGGGGAGCAAACAGGAUUAGAUACCCCCGUAGUCCCUGUCUCUUAUAA
rnacentral:rRNA from 1 species